rnacentral:RNase_P_RNA from 1 species
UGACGGAUGACGACGUGGUCGCUGCAGUGCCAGCGCAAGCUGAUCACUGCAGAGGAAAGUCCGAACACCGCAGGGUAGGAUGCCUGGUAACGCCAGGGCCCGUAAGGGACGGAAAGUGCAACAGAAAACAUACCGCCGAUUCUCUGCGUUUCUCAAUGCAGGGAAGGUAAGGGUGAAAAGGUGCGGUAAGAGCGCACCAGCGUUGCGGUAACGCAACGGCUUGGCAAACCCCAUCCGGUGCAAGGCCAAAUAGGACCGGAGUCGCCGGGAGAUAUUACCUCAGUCGCCCGGUGAGGAUGGUGACCCGCUAUCUGAGAAGCUCGGUCCGGAGCUCUCCUCUGGUCGGGUAGGCCGCUUGAGUGGGGGCGUGAGCCUCCACCUAGAUGAAUGACCACACGUUCUCGCAGAGGCGUCAAAGCCAAGCGAGAACGACAGAAUUCGGCUUAUCGUCGCCGUCAAGCU